CGACGGAUGAGAAUGAUGAAGCUAUUCCGACGGCAGCUGACUCUUGAACUCCUGCAACUGAGAAGAUGUUUUGGAUAGUGAAGAUAUGUAAAGACAUAUCUUCUUCAAGGGAUAAGGAGAGUGAAUUUCACAGGGGACUCUGCUGGUUGCCUUCAGCACAGAAGGGUAUGCACCUCACUGAAGAAGCAAGGCUCCAGGAACAGGGAAGCAGAAGCUGUCAAGGCCCAGACCAAGUAAAAUUACUGAAUCACAAGUCAAUCCUGGAUACAGAGUGGUGAUUGCAAAUUAAAGGUAGUGACCAAGCAAAACCUAUAUGAGAGAGCUGUAAAAUGAAAUGUGACACCAAGAUAGGUGACAGAUGAUGAAAAGCUUGAUCAAACCCCUAGGAUGAGGAGGUGCUGUCAGGUGUGGGCAAGUAUUUGUCAUCUUGAUGGCAUUCGUGUCUGUGAGGGAGCGAUUAGACCAUGAGACAUAAGAACAGAAUUAGCCGAAUCAGUCCAUUGAAUUUGCUCCGCUAUUUUAUCACGGCUGAUUUAUUGUCCCUCUCAACUCCAUUCUCCUGCCUUCUCCCCAUAACCUUUGAACAUUUACUAAUGAAGAACUUAUCAACUUCCACUUCAAAUACACCCAAUGAUUUGGUUUCCACAGCCAUCGUUGGCAAUGAAUUCCACAGUUGCCCCAUUCUGUGCCAAGAGAAACUCCUCUCAUCUCUGUACUGAAGUGUUUUCUGAGGCUGCGCCCUCCUGUCCUAGACUCUCCCACUAUCGGAAACAUCCUCUCCACAUCCACUCUAUCUAGGCCUUCCAAAAUUCAAUAGCUUGGAAUGAGAUUCUCACCCUGCCAUUCUACUAAACUGCAGUGAGUACAGGCCCAGACACACCAGCUUACAAUUAACCCUUUCAUUGCCGGGACCAUUCUCCUGAAGCUCGUCUGGACCCAGUAAACACUUUUGUAGAUGAGCGGCUCAAGACUGCUCACAAUACUCCAAAUGCAGCCUGACCAAUGCCUUAUAAAGCCUCAGCAUUGCUUUCUUGUUUUUAUAUUCUACACCUCUUGAAAUGAAUGCUUGCGUCGAACUGAAUUGACUUUGUUUCUUACAUCCUUCACGUACAUAAGGAGUAAAACUCUUUGCAUCUCUGUCCAAAUGUGCAAUCAUAGUAAUUUAUAAUAAUAAAUAGAACAAUCAACGUAAUACAGAGUACACUGAAAUCAGCGUGAGUUCAUCAGUCUGAUGGCCUGGUGGAAAAAGCUGUCCUGGAGCCUGUUGGUCCUGACUUUUAUGCUGCAGUACUGCUUCCUGGAUGGUAGCAGCUGGAAUAGUUUGUGGUUGGGGUGACUCGGGUCCCCAAUGACCCUGCGGGCCCUUUAUACGCACUUGGCUUUGUACAUGUCCUGAAUCAUGGGAAGUUCACAACUACAGAUGUGCUGCGCUGUCCUCACCACUCUCUGCAGAGUGCUGCGAUUGAGGGAGGUACAGUUCCCGUACCAGGCAGUGAUGCGGCCAGUCAGGAAGCUCUCAGUUUUGCCACUGUAGAAAGAUCUUAGGAUUUCGGGGCUUAUACCAAACUUCCUCAUCUGUCUGAGAUGAAAGAGGUGCUGUUGUGCCUUUUUUACCACACAGCUAGUGUGUACAUUAUAUUUGCCUUCCUCAUGACUGACUCACCAGUCAGUGGACCUGCAGCGUCUCCAAAGUCCCUUUGCAACUCUGAUUUCUGAACUUUCUCCCCAUUUAGAAAAUAGUCGAUGCCUUUAUUGCUUCUACCAAAGUGCAUGACCAUGGAUUUGAGCUGGGGAUGGAAAGAGGAAUCCUGAGAAACUGGAAAAGCUGCUUGAACUGGGGAAGGAUGCAGGCAGGAUUUAAAAAAAACUCCUCCUGGGUCAAAGCACAUCAAGCGGACGUACAAAUAUUUUUAAUAAUGGUGAGGUGUGCCAUCCCAUGUUCUGCCCUUCAACCCUUUGUGAAUGUCGCUUUAUUUUUAAACCCCUUUCACAUCUCUUGUCACUUUAUACAAUUUAAUUGAAACAUUCCCUCAGCCUCCUUUGUUCCAAAGUGAUCAUAGUUGAAAGUGAAGUCAUUACCAAAGUACAAAGUCACCGUGUACAACCCAGAGAUUCACUUUCUUGCAGGCAUACACAGUAAAUCCAAGAGACACAAUAGAAUCAAUGAAAGAGCACAGCCAAGAGCAGAGACAAACAACCCACGUGCAAAGGAUAACAAGCUGUGCAAAUAAAAAGUAAAUAAAUAUACAAUAAAUAUCAAGAACAUGAGAUGAAGAUUCCUUGAAAACGAGUCCUGAGAUUGUGGGAACAGUUCAGAGAUGGGUGUGAGCUGCACCAAUGUAGCCAGAUGUCCAACAUGCUGGAGGAACUCAGCAGGUCGGACAGCAUCCGUGGAAACGAGCAGUCAACGUUUCGGGCCGAGAGCCUUUGUCCUGACGUUCCUCCAGCGGGUUGUAUGUGUUGCUUUGACCACAGCAUCUGCAGUGUACUUUAUGUUUACCAGUGCAGCCAGACUUGCUUCAUGACUAAAGUUUAAUGCUGACAAACUCUUUGUCAACGAUCAGCCACUGAGUUCCCCAGCUCAGAGGGUUCAGAGGUCAGAGGUCCAUGCAGGGAGCAGGCAUGAUAGGUGGUGACCCCCCCCCCCCCACCCCACCCCCAAAACACCAGAUAUGUGAGUCGUCCAGUCUGGAGUUCAGGCACUUGUCUUCAGUGAGUCCUUGGAUCAAUACUUCUAAAACUUUGACCAACUUCUAUAGAUGUAUAGUGGAGAAUAUAUUGAGUAGUUGCCACAUGGCCUGGUAUGGAAACACCAAUACGCUUGAAUGGAAAAGCCUACAAAAAAUAGUGGAUAUGACCCAGUCCUUCACUGGGAAAGUCCUUCCCACCAUUGAGCACAUCUACGUGGAGCGUUGUCACGGGAAAGCAGCAUCCACCAUCUGAAGCCCCAACCAUCUCUUCUUAUUGCUGCCAUCAGGAGAAAGGUACAGGAGCCUCUGGCCCCACGCCAUCAGAUUCAGGAACAGUUAUUACCCCUCAACCAUCAGGCUCCUGAACCAGAAGGGAAGCUUCACUCAACUGCACUCAUCCCAUCACUGAACUGUUCCCACAGCCUGGACUCACCUUCAAUAAUUCUUCAUCUCAUGAUUCUCGUUCUCAAUAUUUAUUGCUUAUUUAUUUAUUUUUCUCUUUUGUACUUGCACAGAUUGUUAUCUUUUGUACGUGGGUUGUUUGUGCGUCCUGUUGUGUGCAGUCUUUCAUUUAUUCCAUUCUGUUCUCUGGAUUUAUUGUGAAUGCCCACAAGAAAACAAAUCUGGGUGUUGUUUAUGGUGAAUUACAUGUACUUUGAAUGCUUCGAUGUACAUGAGAUAAUGAAACUGAGCUUUUACAGUCAUGCGUGUGUGUUAAAGAAUGAAAGGGUAUGCCGAGGAAACCUAUCAGGUUCAGACAGGACUGCACAGAGAGAAUUUUCCCACUGGAGUAUCUGGAAUCAGAAGUCACAGCCUUGGGAUACUGGGACGGUCAUUAAAAAAGAGCACAAUACGCCGCAGGAACAGGAUAUUGAUAUAAUUUGCGGGCGUCAGCAAGCCGCUAUCAAUGUGCAGGAGACUCCCAGAAUUUCCGGGAGCAGUGGGAUGUCUGCAGCUGUGCACUAACAUCACCUUCUCCUCAUGGCUAUGUGGGCUGCACUGUUGCAUCGACAACACCAACAGUGUAAAGGGAUGAAGAAAUCACUGUCAAACACUAUGCCUCAUUGUAAGAUUCGGAGCAAGAAGGCUGAGAGUGGAAUGGCUAAGGAUUUCCAGAGCGAAGGCAUUUUACUACUCAGGGUAAAAGAGAGGCAAGUGUGCGCAGGCGCGUGACGUCAGCCAGUAGAGCGGGAAAAGUUUGAAAAGAAGACUGUCAUAUCCAGUGGGCAGCAGAGUGAUAAGGCUUUGGCUCAACAGGCUUAGGCUGUAAUGAGGCGAGGUAGGUUUACCUGUGUUAAUCGUAUGUGUGUGAGACCGGUUUUCUGUGCUCGGUGUCAGAUGUGGGAAGUCCUGGAGUCUCCCAGAUGGCCAUAUCUGCGCCCAGUAUGUCAAUCUGCAGCUCCUAAGGGACUGCGUUAGGGAACUGGAGUUGCAGCUCACUGACCUUCGUCUGGUCAGGGAGAGCGAGGAGGUGAUAGAAAGGAGUUACAGGCAGGUGGUAACAACGGGACCACGGGAGACAGACAACUGGGUAACAGUCAGGAGGGGGAAGGGGUAGAGUCAGGUACUAGAGAGUAUCCCUGUGGCUGUCCCCCUGAACAAUAAGUACUCCUGUUUAAGUACUGUUUGGGGGGGUGGGGAGAGACAGCCUACCUGGGGGGAGCAACAGUGGCCGUGCCUCUGGCCCUGUGGCUCAGAAGGGUAGGGAAAGGAAGAGGAAGGCAGCAGUGAUAGGGGACUCUAUAGUGAGGGGUCAGACAGGUGAUUCUGAGGAUGCAGGAAAGAAACUUGGAUGGUAGUUUGCCUCCCAGGUGCCAGGGUCCGGGAUGUUUCAGAACACAUCCAAGAUAUCCUGCAGUGGGAGGGAGAACAGCCAGAGGUCGUGGUACAUAUUAGUAUCAAUGACAUAGGUAGGAAAAGGAAAGAGGUCCUGAAAAAAGGCUACAGUGAAUUAGGAAGGAAGUUGAGAAGCAGGACCGCAAAGAUAGUAAUCUCGGGAUAACAGUGGGUAUAGGAAUAGAAUGAGGUGGAGGAUAAAUGCGUGGCUGAGAGAUUGGAGCAGGGGGCAGAGAUUCAGAUUUCUGGAUCAUUGGGACCUCUUUUGGGGCAGGUGUGACCUGUUCAAAAAGGACGGGUUGCACUUGAAUCCCAGGGGGACCAAUAUCCUGGUGGGGAGGUUUGCUAAGGCUACAGGGGAGAGUUUAAAAUGAGAAUUGUUGGGUGGUGGUAACCGAACAGAAGAGACUGGGGAAGAGGCAGUUGGCUCACAAAUAGAGAAAGCUUGUGGACAGGGUGAGAGGGAGGAUAAGCAGGUGAUCGAGAAGGAGCACACCCAGACCAAAGGCUUGAGAUGUGUCUAUUUAAACGCAAGGAGUUUUGUGAACAAAGCGGGUGAGCUUAUAGCGUGGAUCAGUACUUGAAGCAAUGAUGUGGUGGCCAUUACAGAGACUUGGAUGGCUCAGGGAUAGGAAUGGUUACUUCAAGUGCUGGGUUUUAGAUUUUUCAGAAAAGAUGGAGGGAGGCAAAAGGGGUGGGGUGUGGCACUGGUGAUCAGAGAUAGUGUCGCGGCUGCAGAAAAGGUGGACGUCAUGGAGGGAUCAUUUACGGUGUCUCUGUGGUUGGAGGUUAGGAACAAGAAGGGGUCAAUAAUUUUACUGGGUGUUUUUUAUAGGCUGCUCAAUAAUAACAGGGAUAUCGAAGAGCAGAUAGGGAAACAGAUCCUGGAAAGGUAUAAUAAUAACAGAGUUGUCGUGAUGGGAGAUUUUAAUUUCCCAAACAUCGAUUGGCAUCUCUCUAGAGCAAGGGGUUUAGAUGGGGUGGAGUUUGUUAGGUGUGUUCAGGAAGGAUUUGGACACAAUAUGUAGAUAAGCCUACAAGAGGAGAGGCUGUACUUGAUUUGGUAUUGGGAAAUGAACCUGGACAGGUGUCAGAUCUCUCAGUGGGAGAGCAUUUUGAUCAUAAUUCUAUCUCCUUUACAAUAGCAUUGGAGAGAGAGAGGAGCAGACAAGUUAGAAAAGCGUUUAAUUGGAGUAAGGGGAAUUAUGAGGCUAUCAGGCAGGAAAUUGGAAGCUUAAACUGGGAACAGAUGUUCUCAGGGAAAAGUACAGAAGAAAUGUGGCAAAUGUUCAGGGGAUCUUUGUGUGGAGCUCUGCACAGAUAUGUUCCAAUGAGACAGGGAAGUUAUGGUAGGGUACAGAAACCAUGGUGUACAAAGGCUAUAAUAAGUCUAGUCAAGAAGAAAAGAAAAGCUUACAAAAGGUUCAGAGAGCUAGGUAAUGUUAGAGAUCUAGAAGAUUAUAAGGCUACCAGGAAGGAGCUUAAGAAGGAAAUUAGGAGAGCCAGAAGGGGCCAUGAGAAGGCCUUGGUGAGCAGGAUUAAGGAAAACCCCAAGACAUUCUACAAGUAUGUGAAGAGCAAGCAGAUAAGACGUGAAAGAAUAGGACCUAUCAAGUGUGACAGUGGGAAAGUGUGUAUGGAACUGGAGGAAAUAGAGGUACUUAAUGAAUACUUCAGUAUUCACUAUGGAGAAGGAACUUGGUGAUUGUAGUGAUGACUUGCAGCAGACUGAAAAGCUUGAGCAUGUAGAUAUUAAGAAAGAGGAAGUGCUGGAGCUUUUGGAAAGCAUCAAGUUGGAUAAGUCACUGGGACCAGAUGAGAUGUACCCCAAGCUACUGUGGGAGGUGAGGGAGGAGAUUGCUGAGCCUUUGGCAAUGAGUUUUGAGUCAUUAAUGGGGACGGGUGAGGUUCCGGAGGAUUGGAGGGUUGCAGAUGUUGUUCCUUUAUUCAAAAAAGGGAGUAGAGAUAGCCCAGGAAAUUAUAGACCAGUGAGUCUUACUUCAGUGGUUGGUAAGUUAAUGGAGAAGAUCCUGAGAGGCAGGAUACAAGAACAUUUGGAGAGGUAUAAUAUGAUAAAGAGUAGUCAGCUUGGCUUUUCAAGGGCAGGUUGUGUCUUAAGAGCCUGAUUGAAUUUUUUGAGGAUGUGACUAAACACAUUGAUGUAGUUUAUAUGGAUUUCAGCAAGGCAUUUGAUAAGGUUCCCCAUGCAAGGCUUAUUGAGAAAGUUAUGAGGUAUGGGAUCCAAGGAGACAUUGCUUUGUGGACACUGGCUUGCCCACAGAAGGCAAAGAGUGGAUGUAGACAGAUCAUAUUCUGCAUGGAGGUCAGUCACCAGUGGAGUGCCUCAGGGAUCUGUUCUGGGGCCCUAAUUCUUUGAUUUUUAUAAAUGACCUGGAUGAGGAAGUGGAGGGAUGGGUUAGUAGAUUUGCUGAUGACACAAAUGUUGGGGGCGUUGUGGAUAGUGUGGAGGGCUGUCAGAGGUUACAGCGGGUUAUUGAUGGGAUGUAAAACUAGGCUGAGAAGUGGCAGAUGGAGUUCAACCCAGUUAAGUGUGAAGUGGUUCAUUUUGGAAGGUCAAAUAUGAUGGCAGAAUAUAGUAUUAAUGGUAAGACUCUUGGCUGUGUGGAGGAUCAGAGGGAUCUUGGAGUCCAAGUCCAUAGGACGCUCAAAGCAGCUGUGCAGGUUGACUCUGUGGUUAAGAAGGCAUACGGUGUAUUGGCCUUCAUCAAUCAUGGAAUUGAAUUUAGGAGCCGAGAGGUAAUGUUGCAUCUAUAUAGGACCCUGGUCAGACGCCACUUGGUGAACUGCGCUCAGUUCUGGCUGCCUCACUACAGGAAGGAUUUGGAAGCCAUAGAAAUGGUGCAGAAGAGAUUUAGAAGGAUGUUGCCUAGAUUGGGGAGCAUGCCUUAUGAAAACAGGUUGAGCGAACUCAGCCUUUUCUCCUUGGAGCGACGGAUGAUGCAUUGAUCAUGCGGAUAGUCAGAGGCUUUUUCACAGGUCUGAAAUGGUUGCCACAAGAGGACAUAAUUUUAAGGUGCUGGGUAGUAGGUACAGAGGAGAUGUCAGGGGUAAGUUUUUUUAUGUAGAGAGUGGCGAGUGUGUGGAAUGGGCUGCCAGCAACAGUGGUGGAGGUGAAUAUGACAGGGUCUUCUAAGAGGCUUUUGGAUAGAUACAUGUUGCUUAGAAAAAUAGAGGGCUAUGGGUAAGCCUAGUAAUUUCUAAGGUAGUGACAUGUUUGGCACAACUUUGUGGGCGAAGGCCCUGUAUUGUGCUGUAGGUUUUCUGUUUCUACGUAAAAUGGGUUUGCCUUGCCAACGAGUUAGAGGAUGUGGGUUUUGAAAGAAUCUACAGUUAUGAAGCAGUAGGAACAUAUGGAAUUUUAACUUCCCUAAUAUUGACUUGGCCCACCCAUAGAGCAAAGGGUUUAAACAGGAUGGAGUUUGUUAAGUGUGUCCAAAACAGAUUCUUACCACCAGGCAAAUGCCAGCCAGCUUCUUCCCUGCUGUUGUAAGACUAUUAAAUGCUUUGCUAGUACAAGACCAUUGGUUAUAUAGGAUCAGAAUUAGGCCAUUUGAUCCAUCAAGACUGCUCUGCCAUAUCAUCAUGGCUGAUCCAUUUCCCUCUCAGCCCCAAUCUCCUGCCUUUUCCCCGAAUCCCUUCAUAUCCUGACCAAUCAAGAAUCUAUCAACCUCUGUCUUAAACAUACAUAAAGACUUGGCUUCCACAGCGGCCUGUAGCAAAGAAUUCUACAAAUUCAUCAUCUUCUGAGUAAAGAUAUUCCUCCUUAUCUAUUUGCCAAUAUAUUUUUAGGCUGUGUCCCCUGUAACUGUGAGAGGGGAGAGAGCUCCCUGUGACUGUGAGGGUUUCCCCUAGAUAGUGUUUCCUUCGAAUCCCAGCCGUGUGUGGCAUGGCCCAGGCCCAAGAGUAAAAACGAAAUGAUGUUCAGCUUACUGAAGGGCCAACUCAGAUUUAAAAAAUUAAGGUGUCAAAGCUGAUGGUGGACGACAUACCCACCACAGCCCAUCCGUCUGCCUCUCCUCUCACUACUCCCGUUGGGUGCAAGGUGCAGGAGUUCUGACCAGCUGCGCUCGCAUCAGCGCUGAAUUGGCUUCGUGGCCGUGGACUCGCUUGCGACGUUUACGAUUGAGUGCAUUUACGUGGAGCUCUGCCACAGGAAAGCAGCAUCCAUCAUCAAAAAUCCCCACCAUCCACGCCACCAUCAGUCAGGAAGUACUGAGGUCAGCAGGAGUUACUACCUUACAACUCUCAGGCUUUGAAUCGGUAUAGGUAACUUUCCUCACCACUGCUCUGAACUGAUUCCACAACUGAUAUACUCACUUUCAAGGUCUCUGUAAUUCAUGUUCUCAGUAUUAAUUACUUAUUUAUUUUUUAUUUCAACAAUUUAUCUUUUGCAAAUUGGUUGUUUGUCAGUCUUUAUGAAUUGUUUUCAUAAAUUAUAUAGUAUUUAUUUAUUUUCCUGUAAAUGCCUGCAUGAAAAUUAAUCUCAAGGUAGUAUACACUCAGUGGCCACUUGAUGAGGUAGAGGAGUGUACCUAAUAAAGUGACUAUAGGAAUGAAACCUGCUAUGGUCUUCUGCUGUUGUCGACCAUCCAUUUCAAAGUUCAACAUUUGCGCAUUCAGAGAUGCUCUUCUGCACAUCACUGUUGUAACUUGUGAUUAUUUGAAUUAAUGUUCCUUUCCUGUCAGCUUGAACCAGUCUGGCCAUUCUCCUCUGGCCUCUCUCAUUAACAAGGCGUUUUCACCUGAACUGCCACAGAGCUGCUGCUCAAUGUAUGUUUUUAGUUUCUCACACCUUUCUCUGUAAGCUCCAGAGAUGGUUGUGCUUGAAAAUCCCAGGAGAUCUACAGUUUCUGAGAUACUUAAACCACUCCAUCUGGCACCAGUAGUCAUUUCACGGACGAAGUCACUUAUUUCUUCCCCGUUCUCAGGUUUGGUCUGAACAACUGAACCUCUUGACCAUGUCUGCAUGCUUUUAUGCAUUGAGCUGCUGCCAUCUGACUGGAUGAUUAAAUGUUUGUAUUAAUGAGCAGGUGUACCUGUUAAAGUGGCCCCUGCUUGUAGUGUGGCACUUUGAUAACAAAUUUACUGUGACUUUUACUUUUGGCUUUGAAAAUGCUGGACAUGUGAAACGAGCCGAGAUUGCAGACUGCAGCAUUAACUAUUUCAGCUAUGUAAGAGUCUGUGACUUGGACACUGGCACCCUGAAUGAAGCCAAAGCCACAGGUUGCCUCUUUUCAGAGAAUUUGCGUGUAUGUGGUUAUGAGCUGGAGGCCAUAUUUAGCACCCAGUCCGCAGAAACAGGAUGUAUUCGUGCACAGGAUCCUUGCAGAGUUCUGCUAGGGGAACACAGUACCCUACUGACCCUGGCCUGUGCAUUUUGCAGCUCAUGUUCUGUGGAUUACAUAGAAAACCUACAGCACAAUACAGGCCCUUCGGCCCACAAAGUUGUGCCGAACAUAUCCCUACCUUAGAAAUGACUAGGCUUACCUAUAGCCCUCUAUUUUACUAAGCUCCUUGUACCUAUCUAAAAGUCUCUUAAAAGACCCUAUCGUAUCCACCUCCACCACCGUUGCUGGCAGCCCAUUCCAUGCACGCACCACUGUCUGAGUAAAAAACUUACCCCUGACACCUUCUCUGUACCUACUCCCUAACACUGUAAACUUGUGUCCUCUUGUGGCAGCCAUUUCAGCCCUGGGAAAAAGCCUCUGACUAUCCACACAAUCAAUGCUUCUCAUUAUCUUGUACACCUCUAUCAGGUCACCUCUCAUCCUCCAUCACUCCAAGGACAAAAGGCCAAGUUCACUCAACCUAUUCUCAUAAGGCAUGCUCCCCAAUCCAGGUAACAUCUUUGUAAAUCUCCCCUGCACCCUUUCUAUGGCUUCCACAUCCUUCCUGUAGAGAGGCGACCAGAACUGAGCACAGUACUCCAAGUAAGGUCUGACCAUGGUCCUAUAGAGCUGCAACGUUACCUCUCGGCUCCCAAAUUCAAUUCCACGAUUAAUGAAGGCCGAUACACCAUAUGCCUUCUUAACCACAGAGUCAACCUGCAAAGUUGCUUUGAGCGUCCUAUGGACUCGGACCCCAAGAUCCCUCUGAUCCUCCACACUGCUAAGAGUCUUACCAUUAAUACUAUAUUCUGCCAUCAUAUUUGACCUACCAAAAUGAACCACUUCACACUAAUCUG